rnacentral:rRNA from 1 species
CGUAGGGUGCGAGCGUUAAUCGGAAUUACUGGGCGUAAAGCGUGCGCAGGCGGUUUUGUAAGCCAGAUGUGAAAUCCCCGGGCUUAACCUGGGAAUGGCAUUUGGGACUGCAAGGCUGGAGUUUGGCAGAGGAGACUGGAAUUCCCGGGUGUAGCAGUGAAAUGCGUAGAUAUCGGGAGGAAUACCGAUGGCGAAGGCAGGUCUCUGGGCUAUAACUGACGCUCAUGCACGAAAGCGUGGGGAGCAAACAGGAUUAGAUACCCUGGUAGUCCACGCCCUAAACGAUGUCGACUGGUUGUUGGGGGUUUGACACUCUCAGUAACGAAGCUAACGCGUGAAGUCGACCGCCUGGGGAGUACGGCCGCAAGGUUA